UUUCCUUUAUUAAGUAUUAAAGGUAAUACCUGCUCGAUGAUUACAUUAAAUUGCCGCAGUAUUAUGACUGUGCUAAGGUAGCAUAAUAAUUUGUCUUUUAAAUGGGGACUGGAAUGAAAGGUUUUAUGGGAAUAAGUUGAUGAUUUAAUCAAUGAUUGAAUUUAAGUUUUAAGUUAAAAUUCUUAAAUGUUUCUGAGGGACGAGAAGACCCUGUGGAUUUUUAUUUUGUUUUAGUUAAAUGUUAAUAAUAGGUUUAACUUUUAAAAGAUUUGAUUGGGACGAUUAUUAUUUUAACAUGAUUUAUAGGUAUUUAUUAUGAUCCUACAUAAGGAAUAAAGAUUAAGUUACCCCAGGGAUAACAGCGUAAUAUUAUUGGAUAGAUCAUAUUGAUAAUAAUGUUUGCGACCUCGAUGUUGAAUUAAAAUUCUUUCUAAAGUAGAAGUUAGUAAAGUAAGUCUGUUCGACUUUUAAAAUUUU
rnacentral:rRNA from 1 species